UAGAGCUGGGGCGCAGCCUGAUCCAGCCAUGCCGCGUGAGUGAUGAAGGCCUUAGGGUUGUAAAGCUCUUUCGGCGGGGACGAUAAUGACGGUACCCGCAGAAGAAGCCCCGGCUAACUUCGUGCCAGCAGCCGCGGUAAUUA
rnacentral:rRNA from 1 species